CACACACACACACACACACACACACACACACACACACACACACACACACACACACAGUUGUCAGACACUGUUCUUAUGCAGGCCUGUCCUUACAGAUUAAGAUGGUGGAUGUGUGUUGUGCCUUUGUUUUUAAUCAGUACAACAUUUUUAUAUAUGUGUUUUUAACAGAAUAGUACAAAUAAACUCCAAUCGUCCAGUGCUAUAAA